rnacentral:rRNA from 1 species
GUCCAGACUCCUACGGGAGGCAGCAGUGGGGAAUAUUGCACAAUGGGGGAAACCCUGAUGCAGCGACGCCGCGUGAGCGAAGAAGUCUUUCGGUAUGUAAAGCUCUAUCAGCAGGGAAGAAAUUGACGGUACCUGAGUAAGAAGCUCCGGCUAAAUACGUGCCAGCAGCCGCGGUAAUACGUAUGGAGCAAGCGUUAUCCGGAUUUACUGGGUGUAAAGGGAGCGUAGGCGGCCUGCCAAGUCUGAUGUGAAAUGCCGGGGCUCAACCCCGGGGCUGCAUUGGAAACUGGCAGGCUGGAGUGUCGGAGAGGCAGGCGGAAUUCCUAGUGUAGCGGUGAAAUGCGUAGAUAUUAGGAGGAACACCGGCGGCGAAGGCGGCCUGCUGGACCGCGACUGACGUUGAGGCUCGAAAGCGUGGGGAGCGAACAGGAUUAGAUACCCCAGUA